GUCAAAGUUGAUGCUUUUGGUCAAAGUUGGUGGAAACUUGAAGUUUGCAACCAAAGAUGAUGAUUUCGGUCAAAGUAGAUGUUUUUUGGUCAAAGUUGGUGGAAACUGGAAGUUUGCAACCAAAGAUGAUGUUUUCGGUCAAAGUAGAUGUUUUUGGUCAAAGUUGGUGGAAACUCGAGGUUUGCGACCAAAGAUGAUGAUUUCGGUCAAAGUAGAUGUUUUUGGUCAAAGUUGGUGGAAACUGGAAGUGUGCAACCAAAGAUGAUGAUUUCGGUCAAAGUUGAUGUUUUUGGUCAAAGUUGGUGGAAACUGGAAGUUUGCAACCAAAGAUGAUGAUUUCGGUCAAAGUAGAUGUUUUUGGUCAAAGUUGGUGGAAACUUGAAGUUUGCAACCAAAGAUGAUGAUUUCGGUCAAAGUUGAUGUUUUUGGUCAAAGUUGGUGGAAACUGGAAGUUUGCAACCAAAGAUGAUGAUUUCGGUCAAAGUAGAUGUUUUUGGUCAAAGUUGGUGGAAACUCGAUGCUUGCAACCAAAGAUGAUGAUUUCGGUCAAAGUUGAUGUUUUUGGUCAAAGUUGGUGGAAACUGGAAGUUUGCAACCAAAGAUGAUGAUUUCGGUCAAAGUAGAUGUUUUUGGUCAAAGUUGGUGGAAACUGGAAGGUUGCAACCAAAGAUGAUGAUUUCGGUCAAAGUAGAUGUUUUUGGUCAAAGUUGGUGGAAACUCGAGGUUUGCGACCAAAGAUGAUGAUUUCGGUCAAAGUAGAUGUUUUUGGUCAAAGUUGGUGGAAACUGGAAGUGUGCAACCAAAGAUGAUGAUUUCGGUCAAAGUUGAUGUUUUUGGUCAAAGUUGGUGGAAACUGGAAGUUUGCAACCAAGAUGAUGAUUUCGGUCAAAGUAGAUGUUUUUGGUUAAAGUUGGUGGAAACUUAAAGUUUGCAACCAAAGAUGAUGAUUUCGGUCAAAGUUGAUGUUUUUGGUCAAAGUUGGUGGAAACUGGAAGUUUGCGACCAAAGAUGAUGAUUUCGGUCAAAGUAGAUGUUUUUGGUCAAAGUUGGUGGAAACUGAAAGUUUGCAACCAAAGAUGAUGAUUUCGGUCAAAGUUGGUGGAAACUUGAAGUUUGCGACCAAAGUUGAUGAUUUCGGUCAAAGUUGAUGUUUUUGGUCAAAGUUGGUGGAAACUCGAGGUUUGCGACCAAAGUUGAUGUUUUCGGUCAAAGUUGAUGUUUUUGGUCAAAGUUGGUGGAAACUGGAAGUUUGCAACCAAAGAUGAUGAUUUCGGUCAAAGUUGAUGUUUUCGGUCAAAGUUGGUGGAAACUGGAUGUUUGCAACCAAAGAUGAUGAUUUCGGUCAAAGUUGAUGUUUUCGGUCAAAGUUGGUGGAAACUGGAUGUUUGCAACCAAAGAUGAUGAUUUCGGUCAAAGUAGAUGUUUUUGGUCAAAGUUGGUGGAAACUGGAAGUUUGCAACCAAGGAUGAUGAUUUCGGUCAAAGUUGAUGUUUUCGGUCAAAGUUGGUGGAAACUGGAAGUUUGCAACCAAAGAUGAUGAUUUCGGUCAAAGUAGAUGUUUUUGGUCAAAGUUGGUGGAAACUUGAAGUUUGCGACCAAAGAUGAUGUUUUCGGUCAAAGUAGAUGUUUUUGGUCAAAGUUGGUGGAAACUUAAAGUUUGCAACCAAAGAUGAUGAUUUCGGUCAAAGUUGAUGUUUUUGGUCAAAGUUGGUGGAAACUGGAAGUUUGCAACCAAAGAUGAUGAUUUCGGUCAAAGUAGAUGUUUUUGGUCAAAGUUGGUGGAAACUCGAGGUUUGCGACCAAAGAUGAUGGUUUCGGUCAAAGUAGAUGUUUUUGGUCAAAGUUGGUGGAAACUUGAAGUUUGCAACCAAAGAUGAUGAUCUCGGUAAAAGGUGAUGUUUUUGGUCAAAGUUGGUGGAAACUGGAAGUUUGCAACCAAAGAUGAUGAUUUCGGUCAAAGUAGAUGUUUUUGGUCAAAGUUGAUGGAAACUGGAAGUUUGCAACCAAAGAUGAUGUUUUCGGUCAAAGUAGAUGUUUUUGGUCAAAGUUGGUGGAAACUCGAGGUUUGCGACCAAAGAUGAUGAUUUCGGUCAAAGUAGAUGUUUUUGGUCAAAGCUGGUGGAAAUUGGAAGUUUGCAAUCAAAGAUGAUGAUUUCGGUCAAAGUUGAUGUUUUUGGUCAAAGUUGGUGGAAACUGGAAGUUUGCAACCAAAGAUGAUGAUUUCGGUCAAAGUAGAUGUUUUUGGUCAAAGUUGGUGGAAACUCGAGGUUUGCAACCAAAGAUGAUGAUUUCGGUCAAAGUAGAUGUUUUUGGUCAAAGUUGGUGGAAACUGGAAGUUUGCAACCAAAGAUGAUGAUUUCGGUCAAAGUAGAUGUUUUUGGUCAAAGUUGGUGGAAACUGGAAGUGUGCAACCAAAGAUGAUGAUUUCGGUCAAAGUUGAUGUUUUUGGUCAAAGUUGGUGGAAACUGGAAGUUUGCAACCAAAGAUGAUGAUUUCGGUCAAAGUAGAUGUUUUUGGUUAAAGUUGGUGGAAACUUGAAGUUUGCAACCAAAGAUGAUGAUUUCGGUCAAAGUUGAUGUUUUUGGUCAAAGUUGGUGGAAACUGGAAGCUUGCAACCAAAGAUGAUGAUUUCGGUCAAAGUUGAUGUUUUUGGUCAAAGUUGGUGGAAACUGGAAGUUUGCAACCAAAGAUGAUGAUUUCGGUCAAAGUAGAUGUUUUUGGUCAAAGUUUGUGGAAACUGGAAGUUUGCAACCAAAGAUGAUGAUUUCGGUCAAAGUAGAUGUUUUUGGUCAAAGUUGGUGGAAACUGGAAGUUUGCAACCAAAGAUGAUGAUUUCGGUCAAAGUAGAUGUUUUUGGUCAAAGUUGGUGGAAACUCGAGGUUUGCGACCAAAGAUGAUGAUUUCGGUCAAAAUAGAUGUUUUUGGUCAAAGCUGGUGGAAAUUGGAAGUUUGCAACCAAAGAUGAUGAUUUCGGUCAGAGUAGAUGUUUUUGGUCAAAGUUGGUGGAAACUUGAAGUUUGCAACCAAAGAUGAUGAUCUCGGUCAAAGUAGAUGUUUUUGGUCAAAGUUGGUGGAAACUGGAAGUGUGCAACCAAAGAUGAUGAUUUCGGUCAAAGUUGAUGUUUUUGGUCAAAGUUGGUGGAAACUGGAAGUUUGCAACCAAAGAUGAUGAUUUCGGUCAAAGUUGAUGUUUUUGGUCAAAGUUGGUGGAAACUGGAAGUUUGCAACCAAAGAUGAUGUUUUCGGUCAAAGUAGAUGUUUUUGGUCAAAGUUGGUGGAAACUCGAGGUUUGCGACCAAAGAUGAUGAUUUCGGUCAAAGUAGAUGUUUUUGGUCAAAGUUGGUGGAAACUGGAAGUUUGCAACCAAAGAUGAUGAUUUCGGUCAAAGUAGAUGUUUUUGGUCAAAGUUGGUGGAAACUGGAAGUUUGCAACCAAAGAUGAUGAUUUCGGUCAAAGUAGAUGUUUUUGGUCAAAGUUGGUGGAAACUCGAGGUUUGCGACCAAAGAUGAUGAUUUCGGUCAAAGUAGAUGUUUUUGGUCAAAGUUGGUGGAAACUGGAAGUUUGCAACCAAAGAUGAUGAUUUCGGUCAAAGUUGGUGGAAACUUGAAGUUUGCGACCAAAGUUGAUGAUUUCGGUCAAAGUAGAUGUUUUUGGUCAAAGUUGGUGGAAACUCGAGGUUUGCGACCAAAGUUGAUGUUUUCGGUCAAAGUUGAUGUUUUCGGUCAAAGUUGGUGGAAACUGGAAGUUUGCAACCAAAGAUGAUGAUUUCGGUCAAAGUUGAUGUUUUUGGUCAAUGUUGGUGGAAACUGGAAGUUUUUAAUCAAAGAUGAUGAUUUCGGUCUAAGUAGAUGUUUUUGGUCAAAGUUGGUGGAAACUGGAAGUUUGCAACCAAAGAUGAUGAUUUCGGUCAAAGUUGAUGUUUUCGGUCAAAGUUGGUGGAAACUGGAUGUUUGCAACCAAAGAUGAUGAUUUCGGUCAAAGUUGAUGUUUUCGGUCAAAGUAGAUGUUUUUGGUCAAAGUUGGUGGAAACUGGAAGUUUGCGACCAAAGAUGAUGAUUUCGGUCAAAGUAGAUGUUUUUGGUCAAAGUUGGUGGAAACUCGAGGUUUGCAACCAAAGUUGAUGUUUUCGGUCAAAGUAGAUGUUUUUGGUCAAAGUUGGUGGAAACUUGAAGUUUGCAACCAAAGAUGAUGAUUUCGGUCAAAGUAGAUGUUUUUGGUCAAAGUUGGUGGAAACUUGAAGUUUGCAACCAAAGAUGAUGAUUUCGGUCAAAGUAGAUGUUUCUGGUCAAAGUUGGUGGAAACUGGAAGUAUGCAACCAAAGAUGAUGAUUUCGGUCAAAGUAGAUGUUUUUGGUCAAACUUGGUGGAAACUGGAAGUUUGCAACCAAAGAUGAUGAUUUCGGUCAAAGUAGAUGUUUUUGGUCAAAGUUGGUGGAAACUGGAAGUUUGCAACCAAAGAUGAUGUUUUCGGUCAAAGUAGAUGUUUUUUGGUCAAAGUUGGUGGAAACUGGAAGUUUGCAACCAAAGAUGAUGAUUUCUGUCAAAGUAGAUGUUUUUGGUCAAAGUUGGUGGAAACUGGAAGUUUGCAACCAAAGAUGAUGAUUUCGGUCAAAGUAGAUGUUUUUGGUCAAAGUUGGUAGAAACUUGAAGUUUGCAACCAAAGAUGAUGUUUUCAGUCAAAAUUGAUGUUUUUGGUCAAAGUAGAUGUUUUUGGUCAAAGUUGGUGGAAACUGGAAGUUUGCAACCAAAGAUGAUGAUUUCGGUCAAAGUAGAUGUUUUUGGCCAAAGUUGGUGGAAACUGGAAGUUUGCAACCAAAGAUGAUGAUUUCGGUCAAAGUAGAUGUUUUUGGUCAAAGUUGGUGGAAACUGGAAGUUUGCAACCAAAGAUGAUGAUUUCGGUCAAAGUAGAUGUUUUUGGUCAAAGUUGAUGGAAACUUGAAGUUUGCGACCAAAGAUGAUGAUUUCGGUCAAAGUUGAUGUUUUUUUUCAAAGUUGGUGGAAACUGGAAGUUUGCAACCAAAGAUGAUGUUUUCGGUCAAAGUAGAUGUUUUUGGUCAAAGUUGGUGGAAACUGGAAGUUUGCAACCAAAGAUGAUGAUUUCGGUCAAAGUUGAUGUUUUUGGUCAAAGUUGGUGGAAACUGGAAGUUUGCAACCAAAGAUGAUGAUUUUGGUCAAAGUAGAUGUUUUUGGUCAAAGUUGGUGGAAACUGGAAGUUUGCAACCAAAGAUGAUGUUUUCGGUCAAAGUAGAAGUUUUUGGUAAAAGUUGAUGGAAACUGGAAGUUUGCAACCAAAGAUGAUGUUUUCGGUCAAAGUAGAUGUUUUUGGUCAAAGUUGGUGAAAACUGGAAGUUUGCAACCAAAGAUGAUGAUUUCGGUCAAAGUAGAUGUUUUUGGUCAAAGUUGGUGGAAACUGGAAGUUUGCAACCAAAGAUGAUGAUUUCGGUCAAAGUAGAUGUUUUCGGUCAAAGUUGAUGUUUUUGGUCAAAGUUGGUGGAAACUGGAAGUUUGCAACCAAAGAUGAUGAUUUCGGUCAACGUAGAUGUUUUG